UCUCCACUUUUCUGUUGGUCUAUUUUAGUCCGCCAUUUUUUUACUUCGGGAAGCGUGUAGUUCAGAGUGGUGUGUUGUCGUGCUUUUUUACAGAAAUACUGACUUGGUUCUAGAACGAGCCGAAAAUGCCAGGUUUUAGUAGCGUUGGCACGUUUAAAAUCUUUAUCGGCAAUUUAGCCGACAAGACGUCGAAUGCUGAUAUUAAACCGUUGUUCGAGAAGUACGGAAAGGUUGUAGAAUGCGACGUGGUGAAAAAUUAUGGAUUUGUGCAUAUGGAAAACGAAGAGGCAGGGAGAAACGCGAUACAAAAUUUGAAUGGACAAAUAGUUCAUGGGCAGCCAAUUAAAUGCGAGGCUGCGAAGAGUCGUAAGGGGCCAAACACUCCUACGACAAAAAUAUUUGUUGGCAAUCUCACAGAUAAUACGAAAGCCCCGCAAGUGCGGGAACUUUUCGCUAAAUACGGCACAGUUGUAGAAUGUGAUAUUGUGAGAAAUUACGGCUUCGUUCAUCUCGAAGCAACAGGUGAUGUGAACGACGCUAUCAAGGAACUGAACGGACAAAUGGUAGAUGGUCAACCAAUGAAAGUUCAGAUUUCUACGAGCAGAGUACGACAGAGGCCAGGAAUGGGAGAUCCUGAACAAUGCUAUCGAUGCGGCCGCGGCGGUCAUUGGUCCAAGGAAUGUCCGAAAGGAGGAAUGGGAGGAGGUCCGGAUAGAAACGGAUACAGGGACCGAAUGUUUGGACGCGACCCGUACCCUCCACCGCCGCCACCACCGUUCCUUCGGGAUCGGUUAAUGGGUGGUGGCCGCUUUGGAGACUACGAAAGCUACUAUGACAGAAGGGGCUUCGAGGACACCAGGGAUCUCUACGAGAGGCGGUUUACGGGUAUGACAGGGCCCUGUGACAUGGGAAGUUCCAUGUGCGGGCUUGACUUUCCACCAAUGACAAUGCCACCUCUACCCCCAAGACGAGACCCAAUGCCUCCUAUGCCUCCUCUAGGUAUGGGAUCCAUGCGCGACACCGGCUUCUCCCGUGGCAACGAGUAUGGCAUGUUCAGCCGCCGAUCACCCCCUCCAAGUGGCAACAACGGCCGGUUCAGUGCACCUCAGGCUGCGUACCAUCUUUGUCCAUGAACGCGGGCAACCCUAGAGAGACAGUCCCGGGCCAACGUUCAAGUCGUGCAAGAACCGGGAUUACGAGGGCCAUCGCCGUCGCGCCGGUUCGCACCAUACUAAAUCGUCGCGUCGGGCUCGGAUCGGUCUCGGAUCGGUCUCUGUGUCUCUGUCGGGUCUGUCGGGUCUGUCUCUGUGUGUCGCUAGCAGGAAGCCUCGGGACCGAGAUACUCUUGGCCGUCUAUCGAUCUGCACGCGCGAAGAUCUACUACCCAUUCGGCCGCUCUAGCGGAAUCGGAACAUGUAUUUCCCUCUUUGCUAUAUGCGCCAUUUACACGGAAUAAGCGGAAAGAAAAAGAAAGAAAAAAAGCAAAAUGUCUGGCGAAUUAAGCAGCAAACAAAACGAAAAUGAGUUCGAUCGAAUCGCAAGCUUUUCUUGCGCCCCUUUAUUUUACCUUUAUUUCCAGUUUUCCUAUUCCCGACACGUAAAAUUUUUCGUCGUCGUCGUCGUCGUCGUCGUCGUCGUCGCCGCCGCCAACAUCGUCUCCGUUGCCGCCAACGCCGUCGUCGUCGUCGUCGUCAUCGUCCUCGUCCUCGUCGUUGUCGUCCCCUUCGACUUCGACUUCGACUUCGUCGUCGUCGUCGUCGUCGUCGUCGUCGUCGUCGUCGUCGUCGUCGUCGUCGUCAUCGUCUUCGCCUUCGCCGCCGUCACCGCAACCACCAUCACUUCCGGUAUCGUUGUAAUUCGCUGUUCGACACCUGCCGUGUCCCGUUACCACCCCUCGCUCACCCAUCACCAAACGUGUCCUUUCUAUUCUCAUCGCUCAUACCUGAUCUCGUUCGUCCCAAAAGUGCGUGAAAUUAGGCGUCUACAUCGUAUUUUAUUUAGUAUCGAGUCGAUGGGUUCGUUUUCUCGAUGUAAGAAACCGGCAUCCUCCUACCGACAUGCAAUUUUUCGACUCGUAAUAGACUUUUUUAUCGAAAGUGGUGCAAGGGUUUGCAAACGAGAACAAAGAAGAAAUUGGAAAAAUCAUUUUGGUAGGACGAUGCUUACGACGACGAUACGUACCAUGUGAUUUUAAUGCUCGUUUUUUGUGACGAUGACGAGCGCGCGCGUCCACGCCAACUCCCAUAUACACAGAAAUGCACACGUGCCGUUGUCGCUUCGAUAGGGUUACUUUUUUUUUCUUUCUUUUUUUGGACGAGACAAUUCAGUCGACCGAAACCGUACGCGAAAAUGUAAAUUCUCGGUGACGGAAUGUUUCUAUCGACGAGCGGUCGAUCGAUGUAAGCGUGCGUCGGCGGUCGCGUUUGAAAAGCAUCGAAAUAGCAUAACCCACCUUUUUCGCGUCGUGACCACGCAAAAAUCGGAUGGUCGUGUGAAUGUAUAGUUUGGAGAGCGCGCGUUAGUUCAGUCGCGAUCGUCGGACGUUUCGCGGCUCGACUUCGUACGGACUUCCUUUCCCGAUGAGUUUGAUCAAACGUAAUUGUAAAAGAAAAGACGGCUUUUUGUUUAAAUCAUUGCACAGAUCAAGUAUAAGCUACGUUUGCUGCUUACCGUUUCUAGACAUAAUCGACACGAACAAGAACGUACUGCGCGUGACCGAUCAAUCGUAAUUUUUUCGCUGCUUGACGUUCAACAUUUUCUUCCUUUACGUGGCAUAUAUAUAUAUAUAUAUGUAUGUAUAUGUAUAUGUAUAUGUAUAUGUAUAUGCAGACAGUCUAUCUAUAUCGUUAGCGCCACCAAACUCGUAUUAUUAAAUCAAUACGAAAAAAAAAAACAAAAAAAAAACGUAACACGCGAAUAAAGAAACAGAGAGAACGUGAAAUACGUAUAUCGUGUUCAGCUUCCACUAAGAUUUCUAAUAAUUAUCCCUCCGUCGAAAACGAAAGGAGGAAAAAGCGUGCGGGUUUUAUCGUUUGAACUGCUGAUCAUCGAUUAGGAUGAGCGUACUUGAAAAAUUCCGAUUCCAAAUACGAAAAUACACGGUAGAUUGGUAGGAUGCGUCGAUUCUGUAUGGGAAGUCAACUGGGUCGUGCGAACAUUAUAUCGUUAGCCUGUAGUCACGUAAUAUCGUUUUAUUAACAUAUUAGAAUUAAUUAAAAUAAAAAGUUAACUGAUGAUUAAUAUACGGUAAUCGCAACUGCGCUCCGUUUAGCUUACGCAUACGUACGUGUAUAUCGACGAUCACCGUUUCUAGUUUCAAGCAGCGUGUAUAGAUACACGUUUACCGUGUAAUAACUUUUAUUCUCGUUUUCUGUUUAGCCUUUUUUCUCUCUCGUUUCUUUCAUAAUACGACCUGUUUUUUUCAUGAUAAUUACAUUAAUAAUAAUCAUACUGAUAAUGGAUAAAGAAACCAAUGUAAUAAGAACAAUGUACUUGUGGAAUUCACAAAAAAAAACGGCGUUUCGUGUUCUUUAAUCAUGAA